rnacentral:lncRNA from 1 species
GGAUUUGAAUUUCUGGGCUAUGCUCAGGAACACUACUGAAGUUGAACCAUGUAGAGAGUCAUAACAACUAUCAUCUUGGUACAGGUUUCAAAAAGAAUGAAAUGUCCAGGACUAGCUUUGAAAGAAUGCCUGUGGUAUUUCAUUGUAAAGAAUAACUUUGGCUAUUUGUUUCAGAUAAGCAAUUAUGAUAACAAGGGUGUAGGCUGCAAUUCUAGUUUGAAUCUGAAGUAGGCACUGAAUUUUUAUUUUUUUAUUUAUUUUAUUUUUUUUGCUUUUUCUCCCCAAAUCUGCCCAGUAUGUAGUUGUAUAUUUUAGUUGUGGGUCCUUCUAGCUGUGGUAUGUGGGACGCCACCUCAGUGUGGCCUGACGAGGGUGCCAUGUCUGCACCCAGGAUCUGAACUGGUAAAACCCUGGGCCAACUGAAGUGGAGCACGUGAACUUAACCAUUCCACCACGGGACUGGCCCUUGAAUUUUUAUUAAAUAUAUUUUUAGUAUUUAUCUAAAUGAGUUUGUAAACUUUUUCCUUUAACUGUUUCAUAUCAUCAGUUUUAUAUAUGACAUACAUGAUAUGUGUUUGAUAAGCUUUUAAUAAAUGCAUUAUUUUGUAUUGCUUAAAUAAAUCUUACUUUCCCAUGAUUCAUUUUAAGACACAAUUGGUAAAUUUCUCUAAUAUUUUAUUUGGAAUUCUUUUUCCUCUAUUUUUUUUAUUGAGGUAUAAUUGACAUAUAACAUUGUAUUAGUUUCAGGUGUACAACAUAAUGUUUGGUAUAUGUACACAUUACAAAAUGAUCACCAAAAUAAGUCUAGUUAACAUCGUCACCAUACAUACUUACAAAAUGUUUUUUUCUUGUGAUGAGAACUUUUAAGAUUAGUAAAUUUUAACAGCUUUCAAAUAUGCAAUACAGUAUUAACUCUCGUCACCAUUCUGUACCUUGCAUCCCCACGACUAAUUUAUCUUCUAGCUGGGAGUUUGUUUGUACCUUUCGACUUCCUUCACCCAUUUUGCCUACCUCCCACCCGCCUUCUUCCUCUAGGUUUGAGUGAUUGUUUCAGUAGCUUUCAUUCUAAUUUUUGGUUUUUGUCUGGUUUUGAUGUCAGAAUCAUGUUAGCCUCUUAAAGUGAGUUGAGACUUUUCCAACUUUUUAUAUUUUUUCCAAAAUAUCUAAAUAGAAUAUAUAGUAUCUGUUCCUUGAAAUCUGAUAUAAUUUACAAGUUAAGCCAUUUGGGCCUUUCGUUUUGGGGAGAGUUAACUCUUUGACC